rnacentral:rRNA from 1 species
AGUGAACGCUGGCGGUAGGCCUAACACAUGCAAGUCGAACGGCAGCACAGUAAGAGCUUGCUCUUACGGGUGGCGAGUGGCGGACGGGUGAGGAAUACAUCGGACUCUACUUUUUCGUGGGGGAUAACGUAGGGAAACUUACGCUAAUACCGCAUACGACCUACGGGUGAAAGCAGGGGAUCUUCGGACCUUGCGCGAUUGAAUGAGCCGAUGUCGGAUUAGCUAGUUGGCGGGGUAAAGGCCCACCAAGGCGACGAUCCGUAGCUGGUCUGAGAGGAUGAUCGGCCACACUGGAACUGAGACACGGUCCAGACUCCUACGGGAGGCAGCAGUGGGGAAUAUUGGGCAAUGGGCGCAAGCCUGAUCCAGCCAUACCGCGUGGGUGAAGAAGGCCUUCGGGUUGUAAAGCCCUUUUGUUGGGAAAGAAAAGCAGCAGGUUAAUACCCCGCUGUUCUGACGGUACCCAAAGAAUAAGCACCGGCUAACUUCGUG